rnacentral:rRNA from 1 species
GACGAACGCUGGCGGCGUGCUUAACACAUGCAAGUCGUACGGUAAGGCCCUUUCGGGGGUACACGAGUGGCGAACGGGUGAGUAACACGUGAGUAACCUGCCCACAACUUUGGGAUAACGCUAGGAAACUGGUGCUAAUACUGGAUAUGUGCUCCUGCUGCAUGGUGGGGGUUGGAAAGCUCCGGCGGUUGUGGAUGGACUCGCGGCCUAUCAGCUUGUUGGUGGGGUAGUGGCCUACCAAGGCGGCGACGGGUAGCCGGCCUGAGAGGGUGACCGGCCACAUUGGGACUGAGAUACGGCCCAGACUCCUACGGGAGGCAGCAGUGGGGAAUAUUGCACAAUGGGCGCAAGCCUGAUGCAGCAACGCCGCGUGCGGGAGGACGGCCUUCGGGUUGUAAAACGCUUUCAGCAGGGACGAAGCUUUUUGUGACGGUACCUGCAGAAGAAGCACCGGCUAACUACGUG